rnacentral:lncRNA from 1 species
UAGGAGUCCGGGCGAAGUCUAGAAGGUGGUCGAUCACCGUGGAAACGUGGGUGGAGUCCGUCCGUCGUGAAGAAUCCGGUCGACGCUGGUGGGGGUUUAUCCAUCGGCAGAACUUGGGAGUGUUGCGGAGGCUCGGCCGCCAGAGAGGUUCGGCAAGAUGUCGUCGGAGGUCGGAAGUCGAUAGAAUCCCCAGAGGAUCACUCCUGUCACGAACUUCGGCUGGGGGGUAUUUUAUACCCAAC